GAUUUCUUCAGCUUUGAAUAAUCCCUUUAGGAUCUGACCAAAGAUAUCUGAUCGGGUACUUUCAAACCUAAGCCUUAUACAUCCCCACAACUUCAUCCGCAGAUGCCUACUAAACGACGACAAGAGGAGGACACAGUACGCCCUACGCACUCACCACACGUCCCUACAUCAGGAACAUAGCUGAACUGACAGCAAGACUCCUAAGAUCACUAGGAAUCAUGGUGGCCCGCAAGCCCACAGCCGCUGUAAGGAAGAACCUUGAUAACAGGACCUAGGAAACUUGCUAACCAGCCCUGUGAACUCGGAGAUACGAAACAGUACAAGAUGGGAUCAGCUACACAGUUUAAACUCAUCAGCAGGAGCCCAACAUGGUAAACCUCAAAAAUACUGUCAGCAAAGGGACAGUCAUACUCAAAUAUGCUUCGAACCAUCAGGAAAAUGUGAUAAGGAGCAAAGCAAGCCAGGAAAAUGAUAAUUGUCCCAGAUACCAAUUUUUUUAUUCUUAAUUUCCGCUUUCUUUCAGACCCACGGAGUUUGUGGACAACCCUCAGCACUUUAUAGUAAGAGUAGAGAAAUAAAAUCAAAGGAAGGCCGAAGCCAAUUGAAAGUUUGUAAAUAUUUAAAUAUCUGUCCUUUUGACGCAGUGGAUAAUGUUCAAAACACAGAGUGUCAUUCCCCUCGUCUUUACUGAGAACCUUGGAGCCCAUGUAAAUGGUGCAGACAGCUAUCUCCUUGAGCCAGAUGAGAAUACUGAUGAGCAAAGCAGCCUUCCUGCUGUGUAUGAAUUUAAAUUUCAGAGGGUAAGCCACAACGAGGAAGCGAUUAAUGGCAAUGAAGCAGAGGAAGCCAAUGCUGAUGUAGAUAUUCUGGUAGAGGAGCAGACCACUGAAGAUGCAAAGUUCCCGAGAAUGUUGCCAGUCAUCAUGUUGCAGCAUGUACUGAAUCCACAAAGGUAAGGAAAGGAGGUACAACAGGUCUGAGAUGGUCAGAUUGCAGAGGUAGAUUCCCAGCUCAUUCUUCUGUCUGAUCUGUAGGUAGCUGUGAUACAGGGACAGGAGGUUAGUUGGGAGCCCAAUGAUGAAGACCCCAAUGUAGACGGUGGGAAACAGGAUCUGGUGGAUUCUGUGGUCAACAGAGCAGUUAACCAUCAUUCAGCACAACCCUGGAAUGAUCCGUCGAAUAAAUGUUUUUUGUGGAGUCCUCAGUUUGCAGUCUUCAAGCUUUUGUACAAUCGUGUAUUUAAUACCUCUUUCCUGAAACGUGACUCCCUAAGCGUAAAAGCAAAGAAUUUAUGAAUCAUCCAAUUGCAGAUGGUGGAGCCAACACCAA